rnacentral:rRNA from 1 species
AUUGAACGCUGGCGGCAUGCCUUACACAUGCAAGUCGAACGGCAGCGGACCUUCGGGUGCCGGCGAGUGGCGAACGGGUGAGUAAUAUAUCGGAACGUACCUUUCAGUGGGGGAUAACGUAGCGAAAGUUACGCUAAUACCGCAUAUUCUGCGAGCAGGAAAGCAGGGGAUCGCAAGACCUUGCGCUGAUUGAGCGGCCGAUAUCAGAUUAGCUAGUUGGUGAGGUAAAGGCUCACCAAGGCGACGAUCUGUAGCGGGUCUGAGAGGAUGAUCCGCCACACUGGAACUGAGACACGGUCCAGACUCCUACGGGAGGCAGCAGUGGGGAAUUUUGGACAAUGGGCGCAAGCCUGAUCCAGCCAUGCCGCGUGAGUGAAGAAGGCCUCGGUUGUAA